UUCAGUGUGGCAGACAAAUUGCAGUUGAUUUAAACUCAACUCAUAAUUUUAUAAUUCUCUGAAA
rnacentral:tRNA from 1 species